GUGCUUGCUGAGGCAGCACGUAGACUAAAAUGGGAACAUACAGAGAAGAUUAGCAUGGCCCCUGCACAAGGAUGACACACAAAUUCAUAAAGAGUUCCAUAUUAUU
ensembl:snRNA U6 U6 spliceosomal RNA